CACGUAGGGGGCGAGCGUUGUCCGGAUUUAUUGGGCGUAAAGAGCUCGUAGGCGGCUCAGUAAGUCGGGUGUGAAAACUCCAGGCUCAACCUGGAGACGCCACCUGAUACUGCUGUGGCUAGAGUCCGGUAGGGGAGCAUGGAAUUCCUGGUGUAGCGGUGAAAUGCGCAGAUAUCAGGAGGAACACCAGUGGCGAAGGCGGUGCUCUGGGCCGAUACUGACGCUGAGGAGCGAAAGCGUGGGGAGCGAACAGG
rnacentral:rRNA from 1 species